rnacentral:rRNA from 1 species
UACGAGGGGGGCAAGCGUUGUUCGGAAUUAUUGGGCGUAAAGGGCGCGUAGGCGGUUUGACAAGUCUGAUGUGAAAUCUCUGGGCUCAACCCAGAGUCUGCAUUAGAAACUGUCGGGCUUGAGUAUGGGAGAGGUGAGUGGAAUUUCCGGUGUAGCGGUGAAAUACGUAGAUAUCGGAAGGAACACCUGUGGCGAAGGCGGGUCUCUGGACAGUUCCUGACACUGAGACACGAAGGCCAGGGGAGCAAACGGG